GCUGGGGACAAGGCAGCUGUUGCCUCUUGAUUGUGGCUUUGGCCUGGCCUUCCUGGGCUGUGCUGGGGGGGCUGAACAUUUACAGAUGUGUGCAUGGAGAACCAUGGGGAAGCAAUGCAGUGUGUCCUAAAAAGAUGUGGAGGAUGUUGUGUAAUUUAAUAACUGUAUUUUCAAGCAAAGCCACGCACUAUGAUAGUGUGAAAUGAGCUUUUCAAUACUCUUGCCUUAGACUCUUUUCACAGCAGUCAUUUGUUUUCUGGUUGGAUGCCUAUGAACAGCUGAAAGAGAAGCUUUCACUUUUGCAGUUUAAUAUCUAUUGUGCCCCAUUGUUUUGGUUUCUUUUUAGGCCUGUGUUUAGCUGCGUGGUGUGCAAUGUCUUGCUUUGGUUGCCAGGCCAUCCAGGAGCCUGGACAAUAAUGGCUUGCCUUUUAUUUUAGAGCACACAGAAAUAAAAAGUUAUUUGAAAUUCA